rnacentral:rRNA from 1 species
UGGCGGACGGGUGAGUAACGUCUGGGAAACUGCCCGAUGGAGGGGGAUAACUACUGGAAACGGUAGCUAAUACCGCAUAACGUCGCAAGACCAAAGAGGGGACCUUCGGGCCUCUUGCCAUCGGAUGUGCCCAGAUGGGAUUAGCUAGUAGGUGGGGUAAUGGCUCACCUAGGCGACGAUCCCUAGCUGGUCUGAGAGGAUGACCAGCCACACUGGAACUGAGACACGGUCCAG